UACGAAGGGGGCUAGCGUUGUUCGGAUUUACUGGGCGUAAAGCGCACGUAGGCGGACUGUUAAGUCAGGGGUGAAAUCCUGGAGCUCAACUCCAGAACUGCCUUUGAUACUGAUGGUCUCGAGUCCGGAAGAGGUGAGUGGAAUUCCGAGUGUAGAGGUGAAAUUCGUAGAUAUUCGGAGGAACACCAGUGGCGAAGGCGGCUCACUGGUCCGGUACUGACGCUGAGGUGCGAAAGCGUGGGGAGCAAACAGG
rnacentral:rRNA from 1 species